ensembl:lncRNA
GUGGCUGCACUGCUUCCCCAAGCAGCCUGGCUGAUGUCACACAUCCAUCCUGCGGCCUUCAGGAGGGCCAACAGAUGCUUCCAAUGGGGCAGUUCCCAGCUGUUUGGAUCCCAGGAGCAGUGACAGCCUGGCCCUGUAGCCAGGGCUGUGCAAAAGACUUUGUGCGGGGCUGCAGGUGGGGAGCAUGGGGAAGAGUGAGUGAGAGCCGUUAAUUAGGGCGACUGAGCAAGCAUAGGCAGGAAGGUUUGUAAAAAAGGUAUGGCAGGGCUGAUUGAUAGGAACCUGGGGAAGAAAAGGGUGUCUGUGGGAUGUAGUGUGUGGUAUUGGAAGAUGGAGAGCGGUGAGGUUGCAGAGUGGGGCUGCCAGCAGUGAGAGGUAAGGACGUCUGGGGGUUGUGUGGGGAGUCUGAGCCUGGGGAUGGAGAUGGAUGGAGUGAGCACGUGCAGUGGAGGAGAAAGGCUUCGUGGAGGACCAGAGAGGGGAGUGGUGUGCUCCGGGCUUGGGUGGGUUGGAGCUUGGAGGGUUUGGCUCACGCACUGCAUUGGCAAUGCUGAGAGCUCUGCAUGCUGUCCUGUCAGCACGGUUGAUGUGGCUGCAGACUGUGUGCUGCAGGGUGCCCCACGGGCAGGGCGAAGUCAUGCACUUUCCACCCACGAAGCGCUUCAGGAAAGGGCUGCUGCAGCAACUGUGGCAGGAGGGGGGCUGGGGUGAUCUGCAUGGCCAGCCAGAAUGGAAAGGGAAGGGUAGAGAGGAAACCGAACACAAGAAUGAAAAGCUGUCUGCGUGUUCCCCCGAGGAGAGGCAGGCACUAGCAGCUCCCCCAGUGACUCUCGGAUGAUUAGCACGCCUAUGGAGCAGAGCUGCUGGCUCUAGGCGUGCAAGAAUAGUUCUCAGUACAAUGAAAUGCAGAUUUUUCCCAGUGUUACCAUGCUAGCCUGGGCCUCCCUUCCCAUUCCUACCCCAGUAGUGAGGCAGCUCCCACCCUCACUCUUCCUGACUCUGCAGACAUUGCUUUGAUGGAGACAAGAGCCUGCCUUGCUCAGUGGCAGCUGCUCAGAGCUGAACGCCACUGCUUGCUGGGAGCUGGGCCCUGUGUCUGUUGCCUCUCUUC